GGGCUUGACAUCCCACGAACCUGCCCGAAAAGGUGGGGUGCCCGCAAGGGAGCGUGGAGACAGGUGGUGCAUGGCUGUAGUCAGCUCGUGUCGUGAGAUGUUGGGUUAAGUCCCGCAACGAGCGCAACCCCCACCCCUAGUUGCCACCGGGUCAUGCCGAGCACUCAAGGGGAACUGCCAGCGUCAAGCUGGAGGAAGGCGGGGAUGACGUCAAGUCAUCAUGCCCCUUACGCCCUGGGCUACACACGUGCUACAAUGGCCGGUACAAAGGGAUGCGAGGCCGCGAGGUGGAGCUAAUCCCAAAAAGCUGGUCUAAGUUCAGAUUGCAGUCUGCAACUCGACUGCAUGAAGGAGGAAUCGCUAGUAAUCGCGCAUCAGCCCGGCGCGGUGAAUACGUUCCCGGGCCUUGUACACACCGCCCGUCACACCACGAAAGCUGUCUGUACUCGAAGUCGCUGAG
rnacentral:rRNA from 1 species